CAUAGUGUAGCUUAACCAAAAAAGCAUCUGGUCUACACCCAGAAGACUCCACAACCAAUGGACACUCUGA
rnacentral:tRNA from 1 species